rnacentral:rRNA from 1 species
AUUGAACGCUGGCGGCAGGCCUAACACAUGCAAGUCGAACGGUAACAGGAAGCAGCUUGCUGCUUUGCUGCCGAGUGGCGGACGGGUGAGUAAUGUCUGGGAAACUGCCCGAUGGAGGGGGAUAACUACUGGAAACGGUAGCUAAUACCGCAUAACGUCGCAAGACCAAAGAGGGGGACCUUAGGGCCUCUUGCCAUCGGAUGUGCCCAGAUGGGAUUAGCUAGUAGGUGGGGUAACGGCUCACCUAGGCGACGAUCCCUAGCUGGUCUGAGAGGAUGACCAGCCACACUGGAACUGAGACACGGUCCAGACUCCUACGGGAGGCAGCAGUGGGGAAUAUUGCACAAUGGGCGCAAGCCUGAUGCAGCCAUGCCGCGUGUAUGAAGAAGGCCUUCGGGUUGUAAAGUACUUUCAGCGGGGAGGAAGGGAGUAAAGUUAAUACCUUUGCUCAUUGACGUUACCCGCAGAAGAAGCACCGGCUAACUCCGUG